GAUGAAGAACGUAGCGAAAUGCGAUACGUAAUGUGAAUUGCAGAAUUCAGUGAAUCAUCGAAUCUUUGAACGCAUAUUGCGCUCUUUGGUAUUCCGAAGAGCAUGCUUGUUUGAGUAUCAGUAAACACCUCAAAACUCUUGAUUUUUUUGAGUUUUGGACUUGAGCAAUCCCAACACCAGUCUAUUUCAGAUCGGCGGCGGGUUGCUUGAAAUGCAGGUGCAGCUGGACAUUCUCCUGAGCUAAAAGCAUAUUUAUUUAGUCCCGUCAAACGGAUUAUUACUUUUGCUGCAGCUAAUAUAAAGGGAGUUUGACCGUAUUGGCUGACUGAUGCAGGAUUUCACAAAGGUCGGCAACGAUCCUUGUAAAUCUCGAUCUCAAAUCAAGUAAGACUACCCGCUGAACUUAAGCAUAUCAAUAAGCGGAGGA
rnacentral:misc_RNA from 1 species